UCUAACUCUUCCUUUUUCUGCAGUGAGGAUGUUCAAUCACUCAUUCCAAUGAGGAUGUUAAACUAAGAAGAAAAAACGAAGUAUGAAUAGGAAUAAAAUCAACAAUGUUCAAUCACUCAUUCAAUCAACAAUCCCAGACUCAGUCUGAUCACGCGCGCGAGAGAGAGAGAGAAUCGCCGUCAACGGUGAGAUACGCGAGGGAGAAACGGUUGCGUUGUUGUUCUACGGAAUUCACAAACCUCGCAGGGUUUUACUUU
rnacentral:lncRNA from 1 species